rnacentral:rRNA from 1 species
CCCCUGGACAAAGACUGACGCUCAGGUGCGAAAGCGUGGGGAGCAAACAGGAUUAGAUACCCUGGUAGUCCACGCCGUAAACGAUGUCUACUUGGAGGUUGUGCCCUUGAGGCGUGGCUUCCGGAGCUAACGCGUUAAGUAGACCGCCUGGGGAGUACGGCCGCAAGGUUAAAACUCAAAUGAAUUGACGGGGGCCCGCACAAGCGGUGGAGCAUGUGGUUUAAUUCGAUGCAACGCGAAGAACCUUACCUGGUCUUGACAUCCACAGAACUUUCCAGAGAUGGAUUGGUGCCUUCGGGAACUGUGAGACAGGUGCUGCAUGGCUGUCGUCAGCUCGUGUUGUGAAAUGUUGGGUUAAGUCCCGCAACGAGCGCAAC